UCCUUGGUGGUCCAGUUGUUAGGACUCUGGGCUUUCACUGCAGAGGGUGUAGGUUCAGUCCCUGGUCAGGGAA
rnacentral:tRNA from 1 species